rnacentral:lncRNA from 1 species
AAACAAACAACAACAACAACAACAAACACCCUUAGAAGCACUGAAUCCUGCCUGAACAACAAAUCUCUGCCUCAGGACAAAGCAAGCAGAAGCAGAAAGGAUGUGUUAAGUGUUUAAUUCCUAUCAACAUUCAGUAGGAUUCUGAGAAUUUAUUGCAGAUGAUCUGCUGCCCAUUACUAGGAAAGUCUGGUCAAACAAAGGGUCUUGGCUUUGCAGUAAGAAGCUUGUACAGUUACACUUACAACGUAAAUAAUUGUUCUCAGCAGGGAGCUUGUACUCUAUAUUUCUGGGGACUACAGGCAGAAAGCAGUUGUCUGGCCAAGGAGCAUGUAAGUGAAGGGGUGUGCUCUCCUUCAUCUGGGCACCCAGUUAACAGUGACUUCAAGCCGCUGCUGGAGGUGAAGAAAAGACAGCAAGUCAUGAAGUUGCUCUAUGCCUCCUCUGGUUUCUGAGCUCAUGUCUUUGUAACAGAAGUCCUGGUAACCCUUCUCAUGAAGACCAUGCACAGAGGCCACAGAAGGUGGAAGAGUUCCAGCACCGUGAUGUGCAAAUUAAUUUCAGGAUUCAUGGCAGCUGUUGAUGCAGCCAGAGCACUCUGUGCCUCACUUAGUUAAUUCAGAGCUUUCCUUAAAAAAUCUUGUAGCUGUCAUGACUGAGAAGAAACUUAGAAGAAGACCUAAGUCUACUUUAAAUCCUCACAAGCUUUAAAAAAAUAAAUAAAUAAAAAUAAAAUAAAAAUAAAAAUAAAUAAAAAUAAAAAGCAACUGAAAACGAGAACACAAUAUUUCCUGUCUUCAGAAAUCUUUAUUACAUAUUGAAAAAAAUGAGCAUUACAGACAAGCUAGAGAGAGCAAGGUUUUAG